UUCCAGCUGACGAGUCCCAAAUAGGACGAAACGCGCAUCCUGGAU
rnacentral:hammerhead_ribozyme from 1 species